rnacentral:rRNA from 1 species
AACCGUAAAAUUGCAGUUGAUACUGGCAGUCUUGAGUGCAUAGAGGGUGGGCGGAAUUCGUGGUGUAGCGGUGAAAUGCUUAGAUAUCACGAAGAACUCCGAUUGCGAAGGCAGCUCACUGGAGUGUAACUGACGCUGAUGCUCGAAAGUGUGGGUAUCAAACAGGAUUAGAUACCCUGGUAGUCCACACAGUAAACGAUGAAUACUCGCUGUUUGCGAUAUACAGUAAGCGGCCAAGCGAAAGCAUUAAGUAUUCCACCUGGGGAGUACGCCGGCAACGGUGAAACUCAAAGGAAUUGACGGGGGCCCGCACAAGCGGAGGAACAUGUGGUUUAAUUCGAUGAUACGCGAGGAACCUUACCCGGGCUUAAAUUGCAAAUGAAUUAUGGGGAAACCCAUACGCCGCAAGGCAUUUGUGAAGGUGCUGCAUGGUUGUCGUCAGCUCGUGCCGUGAGGUGUCGGCUUAAGUGCCACAACGAGCGCAACCCUUAUCUUCAGUUACUAACAGGUCAUGCUGAGGACUCUGGAGAGACUGCCGUCGUAAGAUGUGAGGAAGGUGGGGAUGACGUCAAAUCAGCACGGCCCUUACGUCCGGGGCUACACACGUGUUACAAUGGGGGGUACAGAAGGCCGCUACCUGGUGACAGGAUGCCAAUCCCAAAAACCUCUCUCAGUUCGGAUCGAAGUCUGCAACCCGACUUCGUGAAGCUGGAUUCGCUAGUAAUCGCGCAUCAGCCAUGGCGCGGUGAAUACGUUCCCGGGCCUUGUACACACCGCCCGUCAAGCCAUGAAAGCCGGGGGUACCUGAAGUACGUAACCGCAAGGAGCGUCCUAGGGUAAAACUGGU